AGAAGAUGGGUUUCCAAUUCGUCAACAGGCCACGUAUAUCUGGCCGUGGGAAAAACAUAGCAUUUCCCGAUUUCCUUGUGUCCUGUUGAUUGUCAACACAAAGGCAAUUUUCCCUGGAAAUUGAAUACGUUUGAACUGAAAUGGCUGUCCCUUGUAUUCGAUAACUGCGUCAUAAUCAGUCGGGUUCCAUUACACAGUUUCGGCGCAUAAAGAUUGUGAAACGUAAUAAUGACAGAUCCAACUGUGAAACGCAAUUUGGAAAUUCCACUGGAUAAUUUACGGUUUCGUCUUCCUUGUCAAGACGAACGAUCGAUUUAUAUGAGCGCAAACCUCCCAGAAUUUGACUUAGAAUCUUCCAGCUUAAGUCAUUAACAUCGGUAUUUUUGGCAGCUAAAAGUGCGUGUGCACUCAAGCAAUUGCAGUUACGAUAAUUUGACCAAUGUUCGGAUAAACAUUCGUGAUGAAUUCAUCUUCAGUUGAAGUGAAUUGACAAAAGGGAGGUGAAAUUGGUAUCAAAUCACUGGAAGUAUCAACCGAAAUUUGCCCAUUUCCAAUUCUAAGCGAAUACAAUAUAAAAUGUCAUCGGCUAUGUCAUUUUUUCGUAUCCCGUAAUUAACGCGAAUUUGAAGGCUGAUAUGCCGAAAUCAUCUUCGCGAAAAGUAUGCUAACUUCAGUGGCAUGCGAAGUAACUAUCGCAUUGUCCUUCGUCUGUUUCCAGUGAUUAUCAUAUUUCAGCAAAUGCAACUGCUGGCAUGCUUCUCAAAAAGUUGCACACACUGUACCAUUCACAAUACGCAAUGACUUAAAUGAAGUUGAACCGCGAGGCGCACAACAGUCGACAAACUUUCAUGAAUUGCAAAAGUAAAUAUCCUACAAAGCGCUUUAUUGCAGUUCACACCCAUUCGAUACUGCUGAUCUCAUAUCGUUCAAGGCCAAUAACAGCUAUGUUGCUUUCUUUGGAGACGUACUUUGCAAGCGUAUUUGAUCGAUUUCACCAAUCUUCAAUAUUCAAAAUUGACAUGAGUUUUGAAUGUGAAUUAGACAAAAGUGGCGAAUAUGGUACGAUCCAUGUGUUCUCAGCUUCGAUGUGUUGUUAACGUCGAUAUUCACGCCUCUAAAUGCUAAAUGUUCUGCCAUUGUCGUCUGGUGAGCGACGCUGAUACAGUGAAUAUCCAUCAUUCCCAUUUCCGUUUCCGAAAGAAAGCACAUGAGUAGUGUUUCGUGCAUUUAUUGUCAAACAUACAAACCAAAGUGGGAUUGUAAGGUUUGCAAGGUCCAUGAACCAUAUUGGUUUUCACCACUACGUAUAAUUCUGGAUCUAUCUCUGAAUCAGGAAUUUCCGCUGAAAUGAUUUCAUCAAUUUGAUCUGGUGUAAUCACCAUCCGCAUCCAAAGAAGAAUGUGUGCGUGCGGCAAACCUCUUUUUUGCUACUCAAGAGAAUACAUUCAGCAUCUAACAGCACCAUAUAUACCAUAGGUUGCUUCAAGAUAAAGACCAUCAAACAUCGCAGUUAUUUUUUAAAAAGUCGAGCUGUGAUAUCGUUACGAUCGCUAGCUGAUUGACCGCGAUCUAUAAUUCCGCACGUAUGUCAUCGCAUUUUGGGAGUACUUCUUGCCUUUUCUUGGGCUGCCAUACGUUGAUGGCAAAAAGAACGCCGACCAAUAUUAGCGCGACCUCUUAGUGGCUUCAUAACAAAUUUCAAUAUGCAAUUGUUCAGAUUGUGUGAAACACAUAUAAAGUUUUCACUGAAUAAUUUCAAAUAAUUUUUCCUUUGGAUAGCCGGAAUAAAAAAGCAAGCCAUCAAAAUUGAACAAUUCAAAUAAUUUACAAAUCUAAAUAUUGAAAAACAAAACAAACAAAAAUUGAAAAAAAAUGUGUAUGGAAAAUGUUACUUUUUGGAAUUUUCCAAUUAUCCGACUUCUCCUCAAUUAAAGUAUAAGGUAUUCUGUUUCUAAACCUUUCCCGAUCCACAACAAACAACCUUUCAAUUUCAAGAUUGGUUCAACCGUUUUCUUAGUUUUACUAACAAACAAACAUUAAUUUUUAUUGUAACGUUUGUAUGGGGAAAAGAAAAGGGCUGUUUUUAGGGGUUUUCGGGAAAUUAUUCGAAUUUUUCUCGUCGUAAAAACCAUCUUUGAACUUCAACGAACAUUUAAGAAAAAGAAUUGGCCAAAUUCGUCCAGGCGUUAUUGAGUUAUGAGCGUACAUAUGUACAUUUUGACGAUUCAUUUUUAUUUAUAUGGACUAAUAUGUUUUUCCACUCACAGUCGUUAACUCACUGAAAACACCAGGUUCGUCGCCGAGCGCGACAAGUUAAAUCCCACGCGCAAAUUACUGGCGGAGACUCUCCAGCAGUUGCAAUAUAAGAAUUUGAGGAGCAGGUAAUUGCAACCUUUGGCGCAGCAGCGGUUGAUGAAUUGUCGGGUGUUGGGAUAUUGGAUCACCAGGUAUUUUUUAAUUUAACACACAAUAUAAUAUAAUACCCAACAAUUACCUCCCGCCCAACCGACGCGAAGGGCGCAAUCCGCCAACGGAGUUUCUGCUCAGCUACAGAAACAAAAAUUUCUACAGCCAAAAUUUGGAAUUAGAUUAAUGUAAGUUUAUUAUUUUUAAUUGUUAAGAGAAGAUGAAAUAAUUUUUUAAUACCAAUAUCAUCGGCAUACGCCAGCAGCUGUACACUCUUAUAGAAGAUGGUACCUUCUCUAUUUAGUUCUGCAGCUCGAACUAUUUUCUCCAGAAGCAGGUUGAAGAAGUUACACGAUAGGGAGUCGCCUUGUCUGAAACCUCGUUUUGUGUCGAACGGCUCGGAGAGGUACUUCCCGAUCCUGACAGAGCUUUUCGUGUUGUUCAAAGUCAGUUUACACAGCCGUAUUAGUUAUUCGAUGUCUGAAUUUGGUAUCCCCAAUUCAGACAUCGCGGCAUAAAGGCAGCUCCUUUUCGUGCUGUCGAAAGCAGCUUUGAAAUCGACAAAAAGGUGGUGUGUGUCGAUUCUCCUUUCACGGGUUUUUUCCAAGAUUUGGCGCAUGGUGAAUAUCUGGUCGGUUGUUGAUUUGCUAGGUCUAAAGCCACACUGAUAAGGUCCAAUCAGUUUGUUGACGGUGGGCUUUAAUCUUUCACCGAAUACGCUCGAUAGAACCUUAUAUGCGAUGUUAAGGAGGCUAAUCCCACGGUAGAUGGCGCAGAUUGUGGGGUCUCCUUUUUUAUGGAUUGGGCAAAUCACACUUAAAUUCCAAUCGUUGGGCAUGCUUUCGUCCGACCAUAUUUUACAAAGAAGCUGAUGCAUGCUCCCAAUCAGUUCUUCGCCGCCGUGUUUGAAUAGCUCGGCCAGUAGUCCAUCGGCCCCCACCGCUGUGUGGUUCUUCAGGCGGGUAAUUGCUAUUCGAACUUCUUCAUGGUCGGACAUUGUACGUUCACUGCCAUUCAGCAGGCUGGAGAAGUGUUCCCUCCAUAAUCUAAGUAUGCUCUGGGCAUCGGUUACUAGAUCACCUUUGGGGGUUAUACAAAAGUAUGUUCCGGUCUUGAAACCUUCUGUAAGCCGACGCAUUUUUUCGUAGAAUUUUCGAGCAUUACCCCUGUCGGCCAGCUUAUCAAGCUCUUCGUAUUCACGCAUUUCGGCCUCUUUCUUCUUCUGUCUGCGUCUCGCUUCCCUCUUCAACUCUCGGUAUCUAUCCCAUCCCGCACGUGUAGUGGUCGAUCGUAACGUUGCGGGGUAGGCAGUCUGUUUUCUCUCCGCUGCGACACGGCACGCCUCGUCGUACCAGCUGUUCCUUUGCACUUUCCGAAAACCAAUAGUUUCGGUUGCAGCUGUACGUAAAGAGUUUGAAAUGCCGUCCCACAGUUCCCUUAUGCCGAGUUGUUGACGAGUGCUCUCAGAAAGCAGGAGUGCAAGCCGAGUAGAAAAUCGUUCGGCUGUCUGUUUGUGAUUGCAGCUUCUCGACGUCGAACCUUCCUUGUGUUUGGUGGCGUGCGUUUUUUGCUGCACAGAGGCGGGUGCGAAUCUUGGCUGCAACAAGAUAGUGAUCCGAGUCGAUGUUAGGACCUCUGAGCGUACGCACGUCUAGAACACUGGAGACGUGUCUUCCGUCUAUCACAACAUGAUCGAUCUGGUUGGUGGCUUUUCGAUCCGGAGACUGCCAGGUAGAUUGAUGUAUCUUCUUGUGCUGGAAUCUAGUACCACAGAUAACCAUAUUUCGGGCCCCGGCGAAGUCAAUCAGCCUCAACCCAUUUGGGUUUACUUAUUAUCCUAUCUUCUCCUGACUUCUCUUUUCCCAUCCUCCCUUUUCCUAUCAAUUUCUCCUACAAUCCCUUAUGAUGCCCCCAAACCAACAGCAGCGAAAAUGCCAGUGCAAAAAAAAAUGGAGACAUACGAGACACGGGAGGAGCAGGCCAUUACUCUACAAAAAAAAAAAAAAAUGAGCAAAACGAGCUGUUGACGGGGGUAUUGAGCCAAAUGACACCAGCACUAACAGAAAUGACAACGAUGCUCAAUAAACUUGCAGAAAAAUUAAACAAAGAAUUUUCUUAAGUAUUCUCCUUGUUUGGGCGGAGACCUGAGAAUUGGUGGUAAUCAACGAAAUCGGUCCAGGCGUUCUCCAGUAAGCGUAGUAACUAACGUCACUUUCUUUUAUAUAUAUCGAUAUAUAUAAUUAAUUUCUUUUAUAUAUAGAAAACGAAAAAGCUUAACAAGGAGAAAAAGGUAAGCAUUGUGAUUUGAAUGUUGUGUGUAUAAUUAAAAAUUUUAAUAUUACAGAAAUCAUUUGGAGCAUUUGGAGAAUUCAAAUAUAUUGUAAAUUACAAACAAAUAAAGGAUUUGCGACGUGAAUAUUUGAUUGGUAUCGUAAAGAAUGAGAAAACCUUUUCAAACCUCUUGAGCAAGGAAAAAUCGAAAUUU